ensembl:lncRNA
CAGUGCUGAAUACAGCCUGUCGGCUGCUUCCUUUAUUCAAAGUGUGCCCUGCCAUCUAGUGGCAAGGACAUUCCAAAAAUACCAUCUUGUUUUUCUCAGAAGGCAAACCUUGUAUGGGAAGCUUUCCUCUUCCUAAUGUACAUGCUUCAGAUUUAACUGCAAAUCAGCUGAAAAAUACCACAAAGUAAAAACUGAACCUGCCUAAUCCAUAUUAUGUUGAAGUGCAUAAUCCACAAGCAACUUCUACGUGCAGUUUUGCAAAAUGUUAAGUCCCUUUUUCUUGUUAACUGUCAAGGAGAAAUUCACACAUUGUAGCUCCAGAGAACCAAACCAUUGCAUUCUUUUUCCACAUACAGUUUUCUCUACCUAGUUGCUCUAAAGCUAAAGAGUUUCAGACCACACGAUGAUAGUAGUUAUUCAGAAGGAAAUAUGAGGAGGUAGAAGAGAUUAAUGAAAGGUAUAUAAGAAUGAAGUACAGCCACAGCAUAAGAACUCCCCAGCUAUGUCACAAAUGGACAUGUCUAUUCCAGUAAUGCCACUUCUGCCAUUUUCCCUUACCCCAGCCAGCCAUUCUCAUGCUCGUGCCCACGUAACAGCUACAACUCACUAUCAGGGAUAUGCUGGAAACUUGCUUUUUGCAGGGCUGCAUGAUUACUAUUGCUGACUUGAGGGGAGAUGGGAAAUACAUGACUGGAAGGGAAAGGAACUAAGAGCUGCAAUUGAGUCGCCAGGAUCUUUAUACUAACUAUGAAACUGUAUCCUCAAUUUCUCAUCUACCAUGCAUUAAUGUCAAGCAGCUCUGUUGUACUGGAUCUGGCUGAAUAGUAGCUGUUCAGCAUCAAGAUUUUUGCUUACUCUGCUCCAGUCCAGCAAGCAGGCUUGGAGGAACAAGAAGCUGGGAAAGGACACAGCCAGGACAGCUGAUAGGCAGAAGAGAUUUCCCGUCCCACGUAAUGUCAUUCUCAGCACUAACAGGUAGGGUGCAGUGUCUUUCAAGGUAGCCACUGUAGCUGUUGUUCUAGAGACUGGCUAGUCAUCAGUGAGAGGUGGCAAGUGAUUGCUUUACACUGCUUUGUAUAUUUCCUCUUUCCUUCCCUUAUUAAACUUUUUAUCUUGACCCGUGGGUUUUCUUGCUUUUGCUCUUCCUACUCUCUACCCUGUCCAACAUAGUGACAAGUGAGUGACUGACUGCGUGCUUUGCUUUUGAAGAUAAAAGUUCUACCUCCCCACUGACAGAUGGUUCUAAAUAAAGAAAACCAUUCCUACCUGCACUCGUUUGCCAUCUGAAACUCCUGAUGACUAAUCACCUUCUCUUCAACUUGUUGCUUUUUCUCAGACAAAUGUAAAAAAGACAAAACAAUACUAAGAAAGCACAAUUUCAUACUCACUGAAAGCAAAUGAGCCCUAAGUUAGUAAAAGGAUUGACCUACAUUAAACCAGACAUACCAUCACUUGGCAAAAAGGCCCAGCUCUAUUUCAAAUAUCCUGCCUACCCUACAUGGUAAAGGGAAAAUUGCCUCCCUUCCCCCUCUCAGUACACAGCUCCAGCCCAAAGAAUAGUCUGAUUGCACUGCACAAAAACAGCAUAAGACUUAAUGGAGUUUACAAAAAUAUCACUUUAUAUAAACAACACAUUGGAGAUCUCUCACAAUUUAGGAUGCUUCACUGACAUAUUUCAAACUAAACAUUUGCUUAUGAACCAGUUCUCUGUGACUUGAACUCCUCCAGAAUAAAGACUGUUGCAUUGUGAAAGCCCUUAGUCUCCAGAUCACAGUUGUCAUUGAUAAAUAUAUAGCAUCAUAUCCACACAGAUUUUUUGCUUGUGGUGCCAAAUCACAGCUUCAAGGCAGUCACAGAAUUUUGCAAAGGGAACAGGCACCAUCACGGGGUCCAGUGGCUCUGUGAUCCAUGGUGUCCGGUGUUUCUUGGUCUCAGGGGCAGAAUUAGGCAGUGAAUGGAGAAUGCCAGACACCCACCAGCUGAAGGUUAGCCAGAUGUCAAGGUUUCCAAGUUGCCAGGGAGUGUCUUCCUCAAGGGGUAUUACCACCUGGCUCUUCAAGUCAGUGAUCCAUCAGCUUCAUGUGCACUGGUGAUAGACAGGGACUGAGGAUUUCUCCACUGACUGCUAUGCUUGUUGUUUGUCUGUUCCUGCAAGGUCUGUCUGUUCCCAUGUGCUCUCAGUGCACACUAAUGGAUGAUGAUCUGUAGAGCAACUCACAGUAACAAAACAAAAACAGACAAAAAAGAAAGGGAAAGCGAAAGAGUAUUAUCUUUGCAAAAGGAUCUCUUUCUUCUAUCAAGGUGAAUUUCCUUUGUUUUGAGCUUCACCAACUGUUUACAUUCACAAAUGGUUCAUAAAUUAAACACAAUACAUGUGAUUAAACAGACACUUACCAGAGUGUGGCCGAGUGGAAUGAAAUCAGACUGAAACAACUUUGCCAAGUUGGCUUCGACUGCAGUCACAGCAGAUGAUGUACUGAUUCUCCCAUCCCUGUGAAAUCUAAGAAGGAAAAAACAAAGCACAAUCAGAUUUUACCCUUUUUUUUUUUUCAACCAAUACUCUCAAAUAUUGAGACUAAGAGUAAAACAUAUAUAUAUAUAUUUUCAUCUUCCUGCUUUCUUCUGUUGCUAAUGUAGACACAGUGGAGGCAAAUACACAUCAAACAAAAAACCUGGCAUGUGCGAAGAUUAUGACCACUGUUCUAGUCAACCAGAUUCCCCUGCCAUCCUGGCUGGGGAGCAAAUAUUGCCUGCACAAACCAGAGUCUCAGCCAGCCAGCGGUAUAGGGCCUCUCCUCCCUCAUCUGCUUUUUGAAUCUGGCAAAUGAAGGUAAAGGGUCCCAAAACUGAAGAGCAAGCCAAGAAGAAAGAAAAGUUAAACAGGAACUUUUACUGGUUCAGUAUCUUCGACAAGAUGGGUCAAGAGUUAGGGCCUGAUUACUGCUUAGAACACAAAGACAAAAGGCCUCACCUUUACAGGCCAUUUGAAGUUGCAAGCCUAAAUGUUAGAAAAAGGAUUCUUCAACAGAAAUCAAAAUAUUAGCUCCUGAAGGCAGGGGCAGCCAAUGAUGAGCCUCACACCUCCAUUGUUACAACCACUUCCACUUCUAAAAAUCAUUAAUUAACUCUCACAUAUUUUGACAGAAGGUUUGAUUCAUUUCAAUAUUAAUGACUUGGCUACAUAAACAGGUAACCACAAACCUCUGCACACUGCAAAACAAUUUGUCAAGUUGCCGACAGGACUGAUGUUACUUUUACUUAUCACUGCACAACACCAGUUGCGUCACAGUUAUGGAUCAGUUUUGCUUUUAUUUAGUGCCAUUACCAUCAGGGACAGAAUGCAGAAUACAACUACAACUUUCUAUUUUUUGGUACCAGGGAGAAAGAGAGUUUUUUCUCUUUGAAAGGGGGUCAUCGCUUGUAUUCCCUACGCAAUGCUGAGAAUUGAGCUUCUUUAGCUAAAUAAAAGAGCACCAUCAACAACAAUGGAGUCUGAACAGUGUGUCUGCUUUCAAUAGCUGCCAGGCAUACCUGCAUUUGUGCAAGGAUUUGGAGCCACCUAAGUGCCAGGUCUGGCAAGGCUGCAUUACAUUAGGACUAGAAAAUGCUUCUUGAUGGGAUUUCCUUCCAGUUCAGAUGGAAAUAUCAGACUACUUUCAUCUUGCUUCCAUACUGGUUCAUAGAUCAGCUACGGGAAAAAAGCUCUGAGAAAUUAUUGAGAAAUUCAAUAAUUCCAUGUAAAGAUAAGAAAAAUAGCAGAUACAAGAACCUGACUUACCAAUAAAAAAUUCUUCCUCUAUACUUCCCCCGUGCACUAAAAUACAAAUAAGCAUCCCACGAUGUAUGAUUUCUGGGACUCAAGAUCAGCCAUGAAGACUCUAUCUGCUAAAAAAAGGAAUAGCAUUAUUAGCCGUAUUCUGUUUCUACAAACUGAACUGCUAGCAAAGAGAUGCAGGCACAUACCGAUGGGCUGAACCACCAUAUGAAACAAGUGGAUUAAAUACUUUAUGUAUUCACCUGGGGCUUUUCUAGAGACCUUUUAUGAAGGUUCGGCUGAAUUUCAGCAUGGCCUUGUGUGAGUUUUUUUGAAUUCCAACAACAGAGGGCAGCACUGUAACCUGUUUCAGCCUGACACCCGCCUCAGAAAAAGUCAAUUUGCCCAAGGCUCUCCCUGCCGUUUAUCACAAAGGUUAUUUUAGGAUACUCCUCUGACACUGGGCACAGGCCCAGCAGUUAGAGGCACUGUCUACUUAGUAGGUAUCUCCGGCUUCCCGAGUCACCCCAGCUAUGGAAGGCCAUGUAUCCUGGCAUUAUCCCAGCCUGACCUAUUCAGGGGAAAAACAAUCCUGUUUCAGAAGGCCAACGCUAAAAUAAACCCGUGCUUGCUGGAGAGCAGAGGGGAGGCAAGGAAAAGCAGCCUAUGCAAAUGCAUGCUUCACAUCCUCUGCUGUAAGAGACCUCCUGCCACCCUCCUUACUACUGGCUGAAGCAAAGAACAGCCUCCCCUGCUGAGCAGUGCCCAGUAGGAGAAAGUGCACAGCUUUAGGUUAGCUUUCCCCUAAGCUGUGCCAAGGAGAUCUCUUCUGCUCGCUGGAAAUGAGGGUGUUAUAGAAGUGGAGGAGACAGGGGAGGAUGUAAAGAGAGAUCUACUUAGGACACUUUUACAGCAUAUACUCAUUCAUACCUACUUAUAAUACAACCGUACAUGCUAGACAUAUUAAUUCCAAACAAUACGGCAACACUUAAGAGCCUAUAAUAAUAAAUGUUAGUGUAAUCAGUAUUUAUUUCUCAUUACUUAUAAGCAGUUACUAAGAAGUCUUUUAUUUUUCCUUUGAAUCAGAGGUAGGUAGUGCUUUUCUUGUGCUCCUCCACUAGACACAUUCCCAAACAGCACUACCCAAGCAAUGACUGAAACACAGAUGUUGUUUCUAUCACGCCGAGGCAGCAUGCCACAUCAUCUACUUCCCGACUUCUGCUUCCCAUCAUUUUUUCCCCCUCUCAUGUCCUGCACACCAGCUCAGCUUGGCAAGUUGAAAUCCAAAGGAAUUUUUUUAAUUGGGACUCAAAUUGCAUCUUUCCCAGAGUGAGUUCUGAAGCAGUAAAAUACUACAGAAACAGGUUGGACACCAUUUGCUAUUUUAAAUUGGUCUCAGACAUCUCCUUUGAAGGUAUCUUUCGUGUAGUUCAAACAUGAAGCUUUGGGUUAGACUCCUAAGUCACUGGCAGGUACUACAUCACCCACUGUUAGAAUACAAAGACUCAGUAGCACUUCCUAACCGUCAGGCCCAUGGCAACAGGCAGAAGCUACUUAAUAUCUCCGCAGUCUCUUUCAGUUGUGUAUCAACCAAUCCAAUCAUCAUGACUGCCCAAAGGUCUGCGGCUGACGAGAUCAAGCCAUACAAAAGGUGGCAGGGUCACAAACUGCUGCAUAGAAUUAUUCAGCUUGACAAUGGUCCGCUGUGCAUUUUCAGCCUGCUACAGAACAGCAGUGGAAACACCUGCGCUCACCUGUAUUCUCUUCAGUGACACGGACACUUAAAGCAUGAAAUCAACUUUGCAACAGUCAUCUAUGCAGUACCUACCCCUUACAUCUCUAUUUGCUUUGCCUAGGUUGUUUCUGACAGGUUUUAAAAUAAAUCCUUUUGCUCAGGAUAUCUUGUUCACAAUGCAGCAAGAAGCAGCUCUGACAUCUACAGAUCAUCUCAACCACUCUUCUCUCAUCGGUGUGGUUACAGCCUUCAGCAUAAGCAUCUCAGUCCUGUCUGGCAGACCUCUUCCUUUCAUGCAUACACAUUCUGGGACUAAGGACGUUUUUACAGAAAUGAAUUCAUUUUCUUGCUUAUAUUUAAUGAUUCAGGCCAUUCUGAUGAAAAAAGAAUGCUGUUCUCAGGAGUCUUGGUUAGCUCUGCUACCAGUAGUUUUAGAAGAAAAUGGUUCAUGAAGAAAACAAGUAAUCAAGAAUUUCAGCUGAAAAGGAAAAAAGAGAGAAAGAGAGAGAGAGAAAGCAAAUAAAAAGGAAUAAAAACAGAUUUUAAUCUCUUCAGGUCCUCCAUCGUUCCUGGUGCCUUCAUUACUCAUCACUAUGGAUCACUCUCUAAGCUGGUCAUUGAAUGUCCAUCUCUGACUUUCAUCUUGUUCCUAGAGUUUCAUGUAUCAGCUGCAAAUCUUGGUGUUCCAUUCCUAUAUAUUAAGGCUGAGUUGUGUUUUCCCCAUGCAUCCACACAGACAGUGCACUGACACAAGGUCUCAUCGCUUUAGUCACAACAUUUCUUUCUGUCUGGUCUGAGAAAUGCAGUCUUAAAAUCCUAUUACACGCCUAGAUCAUACUGCAUAGAUGUAACCCACCAUCUUUACUGUAUUACCCCUGUCUGGUGAAAGACCCUUCUGGGCUAGACCCUCCCCACCACGGUCCCACUGCAGGCCCUGCUCUCCUCCCUCCCGUUGCCACCCUGCUGUCACUCACUGACCCCAGUCAGCAGGGCACUGGCACAUACCUGCCUGCACGCACUGAGGAGACCUCAUCCAGCUGGGCAGCACUGCAAACACUGCCAUCCCAUGGGUUCAUGUGAAACCAGCAGCAGAAGCCCUGAGAUGUCAAAGGCAUAUUUACUUUCCUGUGAAAAGAGGAGACACCACACUUGGUGAGUUAAGCGCGAGGAAGAAAAAGCAAAGGUAAAGAGUAGCCCCACCUGUUAAAGAAUGAACCCCUCAACUCACAGUCUAACUUGAGGGAUCCCCUGUUCUUCCAGCUUGCACCUGCUUUCUGCUCUUGCUUGGGAAAAAGGUCUCUUCAGGCGACCUCUCUUCCCAUUUCUUAGAACCGGGGAAAGAUUCCAUCUUGCUUAUGGUGGCUCAGGUGCGCAGGGUUAAAGCUGCUGUUCCCGAGGUUCAUGAGAAAAGACCUCUACCUCAACAGACUGGAGAGCAGCAGAGAGCAAGAGAGGCUGGGGAUCAAAUUUACAGUCUCAUUGCCUUGUGCUAACACAGACGUCAGCAAGAAGAGAUUUGCUGUCCUGGAGGGAAUGUCUCUUCGUGGAACAGCCAAUCUUUUAGCACCUACAUUAAGAUGAAUUCUAUUUCCAUUAUUGAUACUAUCUUACCGAAUUAAAGCUGACCUUAUUAACCUCAGCUUUCCUCAGUACAGUAUCAUCCUAGAACCACAUAUGAUGACUGUUUUAAAGCAAAUUCCUUGGUAUACACUUACAACUCGUUGCACUGGCUUUCACAUAACUACUCCAUGCCACAGCAAACCACAAGCUCGUACAGACAGCAGCCAGAGGAAACACAUGAAGAAGGCCACAUAACCCGCAUUUGAGACUGAAGUGCUUCCCUAUACACUGAAGAGAGGCAAGGUUUUGCUGCAGCCCUCACUGACCUCUCACACAGGGUGCGAGUCAGGCAACCUGAGCUUGAUUCCUAAGCACGUGCUUCCUGCAGAGGUGACUGACUGCAG